UUAAUAUCCAUAUGCAAAAAUAUGCUGACAAUACAUUAAUUUUGGAUUUUUCAUUUUUAUCAGAAAUCGUGAGUGGAGGAUCUCAAGUCCACAUUUUUUGGGGUGCUCCAGUUGCUCCACUGAAAAUGACAGUAUCAGAAGACACAGCUUCUUUAAUGUCUGUUGCUGACCCCUGGAAAAAAAUUCAGCUUUUAUACAGUCAACAUUCUUUAUAUCUGAAGGAUGAAAAACAGCACAAAAAUCUUGAAAACUAUAAAGUCCCAGAAUCUAUUGGUUCUCCAGAUCUUAGUGGUCAUUUCUUAGCAAACUGUAUGAAUAGACAUGUUCAUGUGAAAGAUGACUUUGUACGUUCUGUUUCUGAAACACAGAAUAUAGAAUCCCAGAAGAUUCACUCCUCUAGACUGAGUGAUAUAACUAGCUCUAAUAUGCAAAUAUGUGGAUUUAAAAGCACAGUUCCGCAUUUAACCGAAGAAGAAAAGUAUCAAAACUUCUCAGUGAAAAUAAAAUUAGAGAUGAACAGCCUAAACAUCAGCCAGAUAUAUGUGUCCUAGCUUUCAGAAUGCUCUCCUUGAAAUUUCUCGUCUGUUCCUUUUUUCUGAAGAACAUGCAUCCUGAAUGUUGGAUCAUGAAAAGUCUUGAAUGCUGUACUAGCUCUUCCUGGCUAGGCAGUGGGGAACCACUGUUUUUUAGUAAGUCACCUGAACUCAUUAAUGCUCUGAUAUAUCACUCGCCUGAACUCAUUAAUGCUCUGAUGAAUGACUCAUUAGCAUUGUAAGAAAUGGGUUGCAGGCGGGACAAGCACCUGUUGGGAGGGAAAGGAAUGUGUAAUGUAAAACAGUAGUAGUGGUGGGGCAUGGGCACAUUUAAGCAGCAGAGGGGUAGGUGGGGGCUGGUGGCAAGGAGUGGGAAGGGAGAGGCAAGAUGACUUCAGAUUUUAGUUUACUUGAUUAGCAGCAUAGCGUCAACAAAUGAGUUGGGCGCUAUGAAAGGAAAAGCAGGUUUGGACAUUGCUGAGUUUGGGGAGCCAAUGGAAUAUCCAGGUGGGAAUUUCCAUUAGGCAGUUGUAGGUAAAAGGUUCAAAAGCUGAGGAAAGGGUCUGGAAUCUAAAUCUGUAAGUAAUCACUUGGAAUUUAUACAUCCUUGGUUUUCUUUCCUAUUAUCUCUAAAUUAUUUCACUGUUGUUAAUACAUGUUUAUACCUCUGACACUGUAUGCUGAUUAGAUCCUGCCUUAGAGAUAGCUCCCUUCCCCUCUUUCUCUUUACAGCUCACACGUUUUGCUCUACCUACAAUUGUUUCUACCUGUUGGUAUGUUUAGUUCUACCUGAUUCUACUCUAUCCGUCUUAGAUAUACAACUCUCUCUUUCCAGUUGGAAAAUGUUCCCUACCUCCAAAGUCUUUCACUUUUAACUUAUGUGGAAGAUAAUUAUAGUGCUAUUUAGGGAAAAAUAAUCAAGUGUGUUAAGAAUGCCUUAUAUUCAGAUAUAUUUAUAGUAGAAGGGACCAGUUCAUACUGAAUAUUAUUACUCUCCUAGGCACUAUGGCUUUGGAACCACUACUUUGCCUUCUGGUCCUAAAAAAAAUUAUUUUUAAUGUAUCAGAAAUAUACAUGAUAACAUUUUCCUUAUGUAAAUAAAAACUAUUAAACCUUUUUUAUAUAGAGCAGUGGACUUCCAUACUGCUAUCAUUUGAAUAUAAAGAAGCAAUUUUGUUAAUUUACCUAGAUUUAGAUUUUAGAUUUGCUGUUUUGUCAUUUCGUGCCUUUAGGCAGGUUAUUUAACCUAUUUGAUCUCUACUUGCUUGGUAUAUGGGAGGCAUGCAUAAUAUUUUGUUGUGACUAGUAGGUUAACCACAUUGUGAAGGAAUUUAUGGCAUGAUCAGAAUGUUUUUUCUCUCUCUAGAUGUUGUUAUUCAUGAGGACCAAUGGAUUGGUGAGACAGUACUACAAUCAACAUUUAGCAGUCAGUUAUUAAAUCUUGGGAGUUAUUCAUCUAUUCAGCCUGAAGAAUGUAAGGCACAUUUUAAAUGAAGUAAUGUAUUAGUGUUUAAAGUAUAAAAACAUACUAGGAAAGAUUAGGGUUAAAAUGGUUCUUUUACAAAAUGUUUUCUAAACAGUUGGAGAGUAUUGGUUUCUUUUCAUUAGUAAGAAUGAAAAUAGAAUUUUAAGAAAUGAACUUGUACAUUGUAAAUCACAUUUAUUUUAAGAAGUAUUGGGUCUCAUGUUUCGUUUUCUUAGGCCAUCAGUAUAGUGGUUCUUCACCUUUUAGGGAGUCAGAGACCUCUUUGAGAAUCUAUAGACCAUUUCUCCAGAAAACUGGACUUAUGUAGAUAGGCACAAAAUUUUGCUUAUAAUUCUAAAGCAUUCCAUGGACCUCUGAAGUUCUUCUGUGGAACUUCUGAGCCUCUGAUUAAGAAUCCUUGAGGUAAUAAAAAUGUAUUGGUCUCGUAUUCAGACAGCUGUGGUUUGAAUCCUUAUUCUCCUGUCUACCACUGCUAAGAAAAGCUAUCUUUCUUCUUUAAUGUCCAGUUUUCUCUUCUUUAAAAGAAGCUGUUUAAUGAGGAAACUAGCAGCUAUCUCCUCCUCUAGGAAAUAAAAUAACAUAAAAAAAAGAAAGAAAACAAAGUAAGGGAAACAGUAUAAACUUGUGGUUUUGGUCACUGGACUCAGAUAGACCAGGAUUUGAAUCCUGGCCCUCUUACUUCCAGUCUUUGUCUUUAGGCAAGUUAUUUCACUUCACUAUACCUUUAUCUCCUUUUCUGUGAAAUGGAGAUAAAAAUACGUAUAUACCUUAUAGGGUUGUUAUGAAGAUUAAGUGAGAAAAUGAAUAUAAGAUGUUGAACCUGCACAUAAUGUAGUAGUAACAUAGUAAUAUUAGAGGGAGAAAUAAUAAGCUAGCAAAAUAUAUUUGAUAAAAUGCUGAAAUAUCAUACAAGAAAAUAGCUAGAGAAAUAUGCUGAUUAUACAAGAAGAUAACUGGAAUAAUAGGAAAGUUAUAGGAUGUAUAUGGAAGAUAGAGCAUGGAAUUCCAAUCUUUGAAUUCUUAAAGAAAGGCAGAGCAAGUAGAAGGGAAGAGCAACAAUUAGAAUAACAAGAACUGUGUUUGGAAUGGGCAAGGUUUCAUUAUAUACUAGGGUGGCCCAUCAGCAGAAAACCAACUCUGACAUAUUUCAUAGACAACUCAAAUAGAGUUCUUCAUCUAUCCAAUAUAUAUUAAUUAUGUGUUGACAUUAUUUCAGGAACUGUGUUUACUGUACACUGGGGGUACAAUGGUGCCUGUCCUCCUGGAGCUUAUGUUCUCAUGUGGAAGACAGACCAAAAAAAAUGAAUGAAACAGACAUAUAAGUAAAAUAUUUGCAGGUGAUAAUGAGUGCUAUGAAGGAAACUAACAAAGGGUUAAGAUACAGAAUGCCAUGGUUCUAGUUGAGAAGGAUUGAUCAUGGAGUAGAAUCAGGGUUAGGAAGUUGUUACAAUAGCUGCAGUUGAGAGAUAAUGGGAGGCCAGUGGAGCUAAAGAGCCGAGAUAUAUUUGUAAAUAGAGUUAAUAGGAUUUUCUGAUGAUGUGGGUCUGGGGAUCAGGGAAGAGGGACAAUCUACUGCUACUGGAUUACUGGUUUAAGUAACUAGGUAGCCUUUAUUGGGAAAGACUGAGAGGGAACUGGUUUGUGGGGAAAAGGGCUAUGUUUCAAGGCAUGUUAAGUUUUAGAUAUCUUUGAGAUAUUCAAGUGGAAAUGUCAUAUAAGAACUGGAAACAAAGUUCAGGACUCAGAAGACAGGUUUAAAAUUAAGAGGCAAAUUUUAGAGUUAUUAGCAUACAGAUAAUAUUUCAAAUUUAAAAGUUUUUAAAAUAUUAUCUGUAUAAUUAUAGAAUCACAGGGGAUUGCAAAAAUAAUACAUAAAGUCCCAUGAACUCUUCUUCUAGCUUCUCCCAAUGGUGAUAUCUUAUAUAACUUUAGUACAAUAUCAACAACAGGAAAUCAACAUUUGUAUAAUACUGUUAACUAGUAAUAUACUAGGAUACUUUCCCUUUCAGUAUCAAUAAAUAUAGUAUCAGCCUGGCACAGUGGCUUAUGCCUGUAAUCCCAGCACUCUGGGUGGCUGAGGCAGGAGGAUUACUUGGGCCCAGGAGCUCGACACCAGCCUGGAUGAUAUGGUGAAACCUCAUCUCUACUAAAAAUAUGGAAAAAUUAGCCAGGUGUAGUGGUGCACACCUGUAGUUACAGCUACUGGGGAGGCUUAAGUGGGAAAGAAAGUUGAGGCUGCAGUGAGCCAUGAUUGUACCACAGCACUUCUGCCUGGGUGACCAGAGUCAGACCUUGUCUCAAAAAAAAUUUUUUUCUUAAAUAAAUAAAUAUAGCAUCAAUACAGCAUUAUAAUAUGAUUAAUACUAUAUCAAUAAAAUAGAUACUUAGUCCUAAUGCCAAUGUCUUAUUUAAUAGAAAAGCACUCGAGGCAUUGUCAUUAAAACCAGGAAAAAGAUAAGGAUGUCCACUAUCUCUGCAACUAUUCAUCUUAUACUAGAAUUAUCAGCUAAUGCACUUAGACAAGAAGAGGCAUCUGGUCUGGUGCGGUGGCUCACGCCUGUAAUCCCAGCACUUUGAGAGGCCAAGGUGGGCGGAUCACUUGAGGCCAGGAGUUUGGGACCAGCCUGGCCGACAUAGCAAAACCCUGUCUGUACUAAAAAGAUGAAAAAUUAGCCAGGUGUGGUGGUGCAUGCCUGUGGUCCCAGCUACUCAGGAGGCUGAGGCAUGAGAAUUGCCUGAACCUAGGAGGUGGAGGUUGCAGUGAGCACCACUACACUGCACUGCAGCCUGAGCGACAGAGCGAGAUUCUGUCUCCAAAAAAAAAAAAAAAAAAAAAAAAAGAAAGAAGAGGCAUUUGAACAUUUGAAUGGAUAAAGAAGAAUGAAAAUUAUCUCUAUUUACAAA
rnacentral:lncRNA from 1 species